GGAAGUAUGGUUUGAGAACGAUCAUAGGAAUUUAGAGUUCAUUUGAUCCAUCCUGUACAAGGAUGUUUAAAAACUAAAAUCUUCAGAGUAGGAUAUGUCACUGGUGGUAUAAAAGAAAGAACACUAUACUAGAAGUCACUAAAUCUGCUUUCAAGACCAUUCACUACCAUGUGUCAUAGCAUCAUAAGAUCUUAGAUUUAAAACAGAAGACAACCUUAAAAAUCACCAUAUCAAACACAUGUGUGUGUGUGCGCGCACACGCAAAAUGAAGAAAUGACUAGCUGGUGACUUGAGAAUUUUCUGCCUAGGUAACAAGAAGAAGGAUGGUAAUUUUGAAGAAGUGAGAGAAGACUAGGAAGGAUAGUUGGUUGGAAGGAAGGGUAACAACUACCAUUUUAGACAUUGAGUUCUAGAUGCAAAAAUGCAUAGAGGUUUGCUUUUCUGUCAAGAAUUUGGAGAUGUUUACAUAAAGAACAGAAGAAGGUAAGAUUGAAGAUGUAUAAAAAAUCAAUUUUUUUAGAAGUUUUACAGUCAAAGAAUAUAAAGUUUUUGAGGGAGAGGAAUUAGUUUUCCCAGGACUGGACUUUGGGAUAUACUCAUACUGAAGGAAUGGAAUGAAGAUUUAAAGGUAAUAAUUGACUGAAAAAAAAGCUCAAGAUAUAGAAAGGAUAUCAACCAAAUGUUUUAGAAGUAGAGGCAAUUUAGUGCUGCAGUGAACAAAACACUGGACUUAGUCAGAAGGUCUAGAGUUCAAAUUUGACUUCAGUUAUUUAGUAGUUGUAUAAAGCAAACCCCCAACCUCAUCUACCACAAUUUCUUUGCCUAUAAAAUGAAGACAAUAAUAGUACCUCUCUCCAAAGGUUGUUGUAAGGAUCAAGUGAGAUAAUAUUUAUAAAGCAUUUAGCACAGUUUCUAGUGCCAGGUAGGUAUUAAUAAAUAUUUGUUACUUACCUUCUUUUGUAAUUAUAAAGAGUAAGAAGCCAGGAAAAAGAGGCAAAAAUAUACUUUCUUUCUUUCCAGAGGUUAGAGAUGAUAGCUAUGGAAUAUUGCAGAAACUGAAAGACACACAGGUUGAAGAGUUGAAUAUGAUGUGGGAGAUGAUGGUAAUGACUCAUAUAAAGGCAAGUGACAGCAAAAGAAAAUAUUAAAUCAUUAUCUCAUUUGAUCCUUAUAAUUAUCUUGAGAGAUUGAUGGCACAAGUUUUAAUGCCUUUAUUUUAUAGAUGAAGAAACUGAGGCUUAAUAAUGUUAAAUGACUAUCCUAUCAUCACACAAAAAUAAGAACAAAAAGUGGAAUUUGAACCAGCCUCCUUAGCUCCAGGUACAGAAAACUAGUCUUAAAAUUAAGAAUGAAAGUUAUAUCACAGCUUCAGGGGUUGGUAGAAUAGAAGAAAA
rnacentral:lncRNA from 1 species